rnacentral:rRNA from 1 species
AAUUAUUUGUAGCUUGCUAUGGUAUACUUAGUGGCAGACGGGUGAGUAAUGUAUAGGAAUCUACCUAGUAGUACGGAAUAAUUGUUGGAAACGACAACUAAUACCGUAUACGCCCUACGGGGGAAAAAUUUAUUGCUAUUAGAUGAGCCUAUAUUAGAUUAGCUAGUUGGUGGGGUAAUAGCCUACCAAGGUAAUGAUCUAUAGCUGAUCUGAGAGGAUGAUCAGCCACACUGGAACUGAGAUACGGUCCAGACUCCUACGGGAGGCAGCAGUGGGGAAUAUUGGACAAUGGGCGAAAGCCUGAUCCAGCCAUGCCGCAUGAGUGAAGAAGGCCUUUGGGUUGUAAAGCUCUUUUAGUGAGGAAGAUAAUGACGGUACUCACAGAAGAAGUCCUGGCUAACUCCGUGCCAGCAGCCGCGGUAAUACGGAGAGGGCUAGCGUUAUUCGGAAUUAUUGGGCGUAAAGGGCGCGUAGGCUGGUUAAUAAGUUAAAAGUGAAAUCCCGAGGCUUAACCUUGGAAUUGCUUUUAAAACUAUUAAUCUAGAGAUUGAAAGAGGAUAGGGGAAUUCCUGAUGUAGAGGUAAAAUUCGUAAAUAUUAGGAGGAACACCAGUGGCGAAGGCGUCUAUCUGGUUCAAAUCUGACGCUGAAGCGCGAAGGCGUGGGGAGCAAACAGGAUUAGAUACCCUGGUAGUCCACGCUGUAAACGAUGAAUGUUAAAUAUGGGGAGUUUACUUUCUGUAUUACAGCUAACGCGUUAAACAUUCCGCCUGGGGACUACGGUCGCAAGAUUAAAACUCAAAGGAAUUGACGGGGACCCGCACAAGCGGUGGAGCAUGUGGUUUAAUUCGAUGCAACGC